rnacentral:misc_RNA from 1 species
GCACCAACACCAACAUACUCAAUAUCUUCUACAUCAUCAACCCAAGUAGGGACUUUUACCAGAACAAAGUUAUUAUCACAACCAGGCCUCUUGGGAGCUACAUCGUCCAGCAGAGGCGAAACAUGGAGUUAAAGCUAAUAUAGCUAGUACCAUAUAUAGAGGUCCAUGAAAUCCCAUUUCGAGAACAGAUUAGCAGGAGC